ensembl:snRNA U6 U6 spliceosomal RNA
GUACUCGCUUCAGCAGCACAUAUACUAAAAUUGGAACAACAGAAGAUUAGCAUGGCCCCUGUGCAAGGAUGACACACGUACUAUAUAGCUAAAUGGUUUUU